UCAUGUCUUUACACAGCUGGAGGCCAUCAUCCUUAGGAAACUAACGCAGGUACAGAAAACCAAAUACUGAAUUCUCUCACUUGUAAGAGGGAGCUAAAUAAGUAGUACACAUGGUUACAUAGAGGGGAACAAUACACACUGGGCCUUUUGGAGGUGGGGGAAGGAAGAGGAUCAGAAAAAUUAACUACUGGUACUAGGCUUAAUGCCUGGGCCAUAAAUUAAUCCAUCCAACAAACCCCCUGACAUAAGUGUAUUUAUGUAAAAGAAAACCCUGCACUUGUACCCCUGAGCUUGUUAAAAAAAAAAAAGCCACAAAAGAACAUUAA